rnacentral:rRNA from 1 species
GAUGAACGCUGGCGGCGUGCCUAAUACAUGCAAGUCGAGCGAACGGACGAGAAGCUUGCUUCUCUGAUGUUAGCGGCGGACGGGUGAGUAACACGUGGAUAACCUACCUAUAAGACUGGGAUAACUUCGGGAAACUGUAGCUAAUACCGGAUAAUAUUUUGAACCGCAUGGUUCAAAAGUGAAAGACGGUCUUGCUGUCACUUAUAGAUGGAUCCGCGCUGCAUUAGCUAGUUGGUAAGGUAACGGCUUACCAAGGCAACGAUGCAUAGCCGACCUGAGAGGGUGAUCGGCCACACUGGAACUGAGACACGGUCCAGACUCCUACGGGAGGCAGCAGUAGGGAAUCUUCCGCAAUGGGCGAAAGCCUGACGGAGCAACGCCGCGUGAGUGAUGAAGGUCUUCGGAUCGUAAAACUCUGUUAUUAGGGAAGAACAUAUGUGUAAGUAACUGUGCACAUCUUGGCGGUACCUAAUCAGAAAGCCACGGCUAACUACGUG